GGGUUUGACAUCCUUUGACAGUCCCUGAAAGGGGAUCUUCCCGAUUUAUCGGGACAAAGUGACAGGUGCUGCAUGGCUGUCGUCAGCUCGUGUCGUGAGAUGUUGGGUUAAGUCCCGCAACGAGCGCAACCCUUGUUUUUAGUUGCCAAUAUUAAGUUAGGCACUCUAAUGAUACUGCCCCGGUUAACGGGGAGGAAGGUGGGGAUGACGUCAAGUCCUCAUGGCCUUUAUACCCAGGGCUACACACGUGCUACAAUGGGCUAUACAAAGGGCUGCCACUCUGCAAAGAGGAGCUAAUCCCAAAAAGUAGCCCUAAGUUCGGAUUGGAGUCUGCAACUCGACUCCAUGAAGCUGGAAUCGCUAGUAACCGUGGAUCAGCAUGCCACGGUGAAUUCGUUCCCGGGCCUUGUACACACCGCCCGUCACACCACGAAAGUUGGUCCCCCAGAAGUC
rnacentral:rRNA from 1 species